ACUACACAGAUAGACCUAAGAAAAAGAAAGAAAAGGAGCUCAGUUAUAAGACUUGGCCCAUCAUAAGGAAAACUAAAACAAAAUUAAAAGGAAACCUAAUCGCCUAGGAAAUCGAAAAAGGAAACAAAAAUCUGAAACAUAUUAAUGCUGCCGUUUUACCUGCCCAAUCAGCACCAAAUCCACUACCGUUUUGUCAUUUCAUCUAUCUUUCCUUCUUCAAGACGUUUUCAAUUCAUCCAAGGGCCUGCUUUAGUCAAUCUGUUACCAACCCUUCUCAGACUCCCCUCAUUUCGUUUUCUCCCCUUUCCUUGUUCAAUUUGGUUCUCUCGCCCUUUCACUUUUUGCUUGUUUUUCUACAGCUUCAGACCAGUAGCUGAUGAAUGUCAUGGAUAUAUGCACUUACCAAUGAUUUGUCUGGGAAAAAGGAAGAUGAGUUUAAUUUCAACUAAAGGUUUAUUUUUUUCGCAUAAUAUAAUAUUUUUUUAAUUAAAUUUAUGUAUUUUUUAAUUCGGCACUUAAGUUUUUUUUAAUUUAGUACUUGAAUUUAAUUUUUUAAUUGAAUUUGACACUUUUCAAGGUA